rnacentral:rRNA from 1 species
UACGAAGGGGGCUAGCGUUGCUCGGAAUUACUGGGCGUAAAGCGCGUGUAGGCGGCCAUCUAAGUCGGGCGUGAAAUCCCACGGCUCAACCGUGGAAGUGCACUCGAAACUGGAUGGCUAGAGUCCUGGAGAGGAAGGUGGAAUGCUUGGUGUAGAGGUGAAAUUCGUAGAUAUCAAGCGGAACACCGGUGGCGAAGGCGGCCUUCUGGACAGUGACUGACGCUGAGACGCGAAAGCGUGGGGAGCAAACAGG